CAAUACAUAUGUAGUCGUUUACUGUCCUCGCUACACAACGAACUAUUAUUUACUAGUUCACUAUAAUAAAUUUCCGCAUGAAGUACUCUCUUCUUAUUUACAACACACUUCGAUAUUUAGUUUUCUCAUGCAUAAAAGUAGUAUUAAUGUGUAUAAACUAUACGUGUAGAAUACAUUUAAAAUUAUCUGCAUUCCGAUUGCAUUUAGUUCACUUUCUUACAACUUUUAUAGCUUAUCAACAUUUACCGUACAAUAAUGUUUAGUUCACAUGAACAAAAAAUUUAUAAUUAUGUUUCUUUUUCAAAAUAAGAAUAUAUAUAAUUUGUGUUACGUGUUCAAUAAACAAAAUGGUUAUUUUAGAGACUAAGGACAAAACAGAGAGAAGAAUAAUAAUGAAGAGGUAUACUAUCAUGUGAUGCAACCCUCUAAUAAUGACUUAUUUACAUCAUAUAUUAGAUGGAACGGAGUACCUAUAAGAGUGGAUUAAAGAGGAUGAAAGAGGAGAAACUAAAAUAUUUAGGCGUGAAGUUGUUUGAAAUACACGGGAGGAGAGGUGCUGAUGUGAUGACUCGAAAAUAUAUAGAUUGUUUCAGACGACCGUGACUGUUCUUCAUGAAGCCGCGUAUUCGUAAGUGUCUACGUAGUGACUAAUUAUUCUAUGAUUUUAUGUUAUAUAACUAAUAAAGUCUGAUAGUAAUUUUAACUUGGUGUUUUCAAAAGUAGUGAAUAAAUGUAAGGAAGUAUAUUUACAUUUGUCAAUUGUUAAAAAAAAAAUUAUUACACUAUUAUAGCCUAUUAGGUAACAAUAACACAGCCUUUGUAAAAAUUGAUCGAUAAUUUUAACUGUCUCAACAUUAAUUUGGCCGAUUGUUAAAAACGGGCUGUUUAAUUUUAUAUGCUGCAUCUGCAAUUAAAGUCUGCGCACGCCUAUGGUCUUGUAACUGCUGCAACAGACGAGAGAAGUUUCAAAUAUUUGCGAUCAAAUAAAUCUCAAGAUCGAUUAGUCAACCUUUCUACUGAAAGCGAAAUCGCUGAAAAAUUAGACAUUGAUAAACUUGUACACAGCUUGGUUUCACUAAUAAUAAGAAAAGUCAAUUUUAAAUGAAAUUAAGCUUGUUUUAUUUUAUUUUAUGAAUAUUAUUAAAAUAAUAAUUUGUUAAAUUUUUUAAGAUUAUGACAGAGGUUUAGUUGUUUGUAAGGCUGAAAGCAAUAAAUAUUUGAUCAUAUAAAUUCCUAAAAUCUAAAUGCGAGUGCAUACACAUAAUGAAUUUACGAAUAUAAUAAAUUAUAUAAGUUCACAAAUUUGACGUUAAAAUAAAAAAUAUAUAAAAAUAUCCCGAUAGUCCCUACACUACUUGUUAUUUCUUUAAAAUGAAAAAAUGAAAAUAAUUUUCAUGUCACAUAAAAAAGAGAUGGGCCGUGUUAAAAUUAGAGCUCAAUCCAGUGCACUAUUUUUGCUUGAACCGGCCAUGCUUACAACACGUUGCGGAAACAUAAUCGCGAAUCCUGUUUAAAAAGGCACAUCGGCACGUUGCACUGGUUAUCGCGACGGGUAAUCAUAGCUUACGAUAUUAAUGUUCCCAAGCCUCUAACGGUUUAUGAUAAAUGCGCGUCAUCUGCAGCGACACUACUUGUACACGUAACACACGAGACGCGUCCAAUCGUAUCGUUCCAUCGGGAAUAUUAUUUGUAUUACGGCAAACGCUUAUAACACGUAAACGUGUUGUAUAACCAUGCCCAUAAAUCGGAUGUCAAGUCCGGUGGGGUUAGUCGAGUGUACAGUCGGAUCAAGUCGGGUUGGGUUAGGUUCGGCGUCUCCGUGCGCGCGUUCGAUUUGUUUACAAUAAAAAUGCAAUAAUAAUACGCAUGUGUACACCUGAAUCAUUGUUA